UACGUAGGGUGCGAGCGUUGUCCGGAAUUAUUGGGCGUAAAGAGCUUGUAGGCGGUCUGUCGCGUCUGCUGUGAAAAUCCGGGGCUCAACCCCGGACUUGCAGUGGGUACGGGCAGACUAGAGUGUGGUAGGGGAGACUGGAAUUCCUGGUGUAGCGGUGAAAUGCGCAGAUAUCAGGAGGAACACCAGCGGCGAAGGCGGCGCUCUGGGCCGGUACUGACACUGAGGAGCGAAAGCGUGGGUAGCAAACAGG
rnacentral:rRNA from 1 species